rnacentral:rRNA from 1 species
GAUGAACGCUAGCGGGAGGCCUAACACAUGCAAGCCGAGCGGUAUUUGUUCUUCGGAACAGAGAGAGCGGCGCACGGGUGCGGAACACGUGUGCAACCUGCCUUUAUCUGGGGGAUAGCCUUUCGAAAGGAAGAUUAAUACCCCAUAAUAUAUUGAGUGGCAUCACUUGAUAUUGAAAACUCCGGUGGAUAGAGAUGGGCACGCGCAAGAUUAGAUAGUUGGUGAGGUAACGGCUCACCAAGUCAAUGAUCUUUAGGGGGCCUGAGAGGGUGAUCCCCCACACUGGUACUGAGACACGGACCAGACUCCUACGGGAGGCAGCAGUGAGGAAUAUUGAACAAUGGGUUAGCGCCUGAUCCAGCCAUCCCGCGUGAAGGACGACGGCCCUAUGGGCUGUAAACUUCUUUUGUAUAGGGAUAAACCUACUCUCGUGAGAGUAGCUGAAGGUACUAUACGAAUAAGCACCGGCUAACUCCGUG